ACACGACACAUACUAAAACCAGUCGUAUAUACAACCGAUUUCUUCGUACGAAUAUAAUCACAAAAUACCGCUAAACAGAUGUUAAUUUCGUAAUUUACAUGGUUACUCGAUUUAAGUACUUACAUAACAAUAGUUUUUCGAAGGUUUAUCAAAUAAUGUUUAGUAUGUCAAGCAUUAUUAUCUAUAUGAAUUUAUAACUAGGAUGUAAGAAAUCGUAGAGCCUUUUUAAUGUAUCAUAUUCCAAGUUAAUUUAAUAUAUACUGUUAGUUUAUUAGUUUAUACUGUAAUGUUUGAUAGUGACGUUGGAGUAGUUGUAAUACAAAAUUGGCCCAUAGUUCUAUACUUAAAGAGAUGUUUUUCCACUAUAUUUUAUGCAAAUUAAAAAGAAUACCGACUAACCUAAUAUUGAUAAAGAAUUAUAAUAAAACGAAUUUAGUUAAAUUAGUUUUUACUUUUUGAAUACCUUGAGUGAUAACAUACAUUAUGGAUUAUUGACUCUCAAAAAAUGAAAAAAAAGAAGAACGUUAUUUGGAGUAUUUAACUUCAAAAUGUAAGUAUAGAUGAAUUCAAUACACAUUAACUAAUAAUAUUAAAUAUUAUUAGAUAUAGGUACAAUUUUUUUUAUUACCUAUUCAUAAUAAUCAAAUUUUAUGUUAUUUUAUAGGUAGUUUCAUAAAUGUGGUGUAAUUGAUUAUCUGUUUGAAGUAUUAUUACAUUUCUUGUGAAGUGGAUUAUCAGAAAAUCAAAUAUAAAUCAUAUAUAUGUACUGGAUACAUUUUAUUGAAUCAUUAAAUCAACUGUUAUAGUCCAAUCAUGAAUUAGUUUAGUAUUAGUAAAGUACUAUUAAACUAAGUAAAUAUAACACUAACAUGAACAUUUAAAUAUGUAAGUUAAUUAACUUAAAUAGUAUUUAUAUUAACCAUUAAUGAAUAAUAUGUUGGCAUUUCAUUUUUAGUGCAUCAGUCAUUUUAAAUAGCUGUGAAAAGUGAAUUUAUUGAUGUAAUUCAAAUUCAAAACUUACCUUUUCNAUCAUUUAAAUAUGUAAGUUAAUUAACUUAAAUAGUAUUUAUAUUAACCAUUAAUGAAUAAUAUGUUGGCAUUUCAUUUUUAGUGCAUCAGUCGUUUUAAAUAGCUGUGAAGAGUGAAUGUAUUGAUGUAAUUCAAAUUCAAAACUUACCUUUUCGUCAUCAUUGAAAAUAUUUGUAUUUUAUUGAAAAUUGUAUUAAUUUUAGUAAAGUUAUGUAUUCAAUUUUAAUUAUUUUUUAUUCGAUAUGUUCUAGUAUUGGCUAGGUUAAUAUAAUCUAAAUAGUUGAAGCCACAAAUGUUGGCGCUAAUUAUAAUUUAUAUUUAUAAGAUUAAAAUUGUUUGAUUUACAAUAGACUUCCUAAGUAAAGUCUAAGUAGCUUGGUUUUAAUAAGUUCAUAUUUUAACUAUUUUGUGAAUAGAAUAAUUUAAUAUUAAACUUUUACUUUUAAGUNUUUUUUGUAGGUACAUCUUAAUAUAGGUAAAGUAAUAUGUUUAAUCAUUUAUUAGGUACCUAUAGAUUGUUAUAAAUGAGAAAAAAAAUAAAAAUUUUGAUAAUUAAGUAAAGUCAUUCAAUCUUAAUUAUUUUUUAUUAGAUAUGUUAUAAUAGUCGUUAGGUAAACUUAAUCUAAAUAGUAGAAUUUCAGUACUAAACUUAAUUUAUAAUUAUUGUCGGCAAUAGACUUCUAAAGUAAAAUAUCCACCCUAAGUAGCUCGUUUUUAAUAAGUUCAUAUUUUAACUAUUUUGUUAAUAGAAUAAUUUAUUAUUAAACUUUAACUUUUAAGUAAAUAGAAUAUUUUAUUAUAUUGUAGGUACAUUUUAAUAUAGGUACAGUGAUAUGUUUAAUCAUUUAUUAGGUACCUAUUGAUUGUUAUAAAUGAGAAAUAAAUAAAAAGUAUAAUAAUUUUAUUUUAAUAUGAAUGUUAAAUUUUGAAAUUUAAGGGUCUUUUUUUUUAAUUCUGAUUUAAUACUUUGAUGGGCCGAUUAAUAAAUAAUCAUGGGUUGUAGUUGGUCACUGCCAAAUUAAACCAUAGAUUACCUAAUAGCUUUGGAC
rnacentral:lncRNA from 1 species